rnacentral:lncRNA from 1 species
UGACGCUUUUUUUGGGAGAAUUACAAAUAGUUCUAAUUUCAUCAGACAACCCUUUCAACAAUUAAGAUUUAAGAAGCUUUUAAUUAAAAAGGAGUUAGAUUAAAACAUGUUUAAGGUAAAAUUAUAGCAGGUGGUCAUUAAGAAACGCUUUGAAACACAAUGACAAAUUGAAAAUCAUCAACAAUUACCAAAAACAUGUAACCCCAACGAAUAAAUAAAUAUAAAAAUUUGACCUUCGUAAUGUGACCUACCGUUUUUCGCUACUAUUUUUGCACAAAAAAGUAAAAUGUUAUUUAAAAAAAAGUGAAAAAUGCAGUUGAUAAAGAUAGGAUAGCAAAAUCUUAUACACUU